rnacentral:lncRNA from 1 species
AGCUCCAAUGUGAUCUGGGUUCUGAUAUUAUCUCUGCGCUCUGCAGUGUGCCAUGGGCACAUGAGGAAUGUCAGAAGUCAUAACCAUGCCUGAUGACAACAGUUUCCUUUGGCCUGGUGUGGUAUUGUAAAUUGUCGCUUUUAGACCAACUUUUUAGUGAUAGACCCUCUCUAUGCUUUUUGUUGUAAGCUACUGCAGAUUCUUGCCACAGGUAUGAAGUAAAUUCUGUUAAUAGCCUUGAUUUUUCACCUGUGCCACCAUAUAUAUCUUUGCCAUGGCCUCAUGAUGGAUGGAAUAUACUUCCCUGCCCCUUGACUUGAUACUUGACCAUGUAACUUUUUUGGAACAAUGAAAGAUGAUGGAAAUGUCAGUAUACCUGUGCUCAGGUAUACUGUGCUAGGUCUUAAGAAGCCUCCAGUGUUUCCAGCUAUACAUCUGCAAUCACCAUGAGAAGGACCUGCUCAAGCAAACCACUAGUCACAGGAGGAGAAUGAGAGACACAUGGAGCAGAGCUGCCCUCAGAGUCCACCUAGAUUAGUUGUCAGCAGACCUCCAGUGGACUUGUAGAAACACAAGCAAUAAUAAAAGGCUGUUGUUUUAAGCCAC